rnacentral:rRNA from 1 species
UACGUAGGUGGCAAGCGUUGUCCGGAUUUACUGGGCGUAAAGAGCGCGCAGGCGGUCGGUCAAGUCGCGUGUGAAAGCCCCCGGCUCAACUGGGGAGGGUCACGCGAUACUGAUCGACUCGAAGGCAGGAGAGGGUAGUGGAAUUCCCGGUGUAGUGGUGAAAUGCGUAGAUAUCGGGAGGAACACCGGUGGCGAAGGCGGCAUCCUGGACCGACACUGACGCUGAGGCGCGAAAGCUAGGGUAGCAAACGGG